rnacentral:rRNA from 1 species
AGAACGAACGCUGGCGGCGUGCCUAACACAUGCAAGUCGAACGAGAAAGGGGCUUCGGCUCCGAGUAAAGUGGCGCACGGGUGAGUAACACGUAGGUAACCUGCCUCUAAGAUUGGGAUAACUUGUCGAAAGACGAGCUAAUACCAAAUAAGACCACGGUCUCCUCGGGGACAGAGGUCAAAGGUAGCCUCUAUUUAUAAGCUAUCGCUGAGAGAUGGGCCUGCGUACCAUUAGCUUGUUGUGAGGUAACGGCUCACCAAGGCAAAGAUGGUUAGCUGGUCUGAGAGGAUGAUCAGCCACACUGGAACUGAGACACGGUCCAGACUCCUACGGGAGGCAGCGAGUGGGGAAUAGUUGCGCAAUGGGCGAAAGCCUGACGCAGCAACGCCGCGUGAGUGAUGAAGGCCGUUCGGUCGUAAAGCUCGUGUCGGAGGAACGAAGUCGCGUCCUAGAAGUUAACAGUCGUUACGGGAGGUCGACGGUACCCUAGAAACGGAACGCCACCGGACUAACGUCGUCG